GGGGGGGGGGGGGGGGGGGGGGGGGGGGGGGGGGGCGGGGGGGGGCGGGGGGAGGGGUGGCUCGUGCGGGGGGCGGGGGGCGGAGGGGGGGGGGAUACAUCGGAAUCGACUUUUUCGUGGGGGGUAACGGAGGGAAACGUACGCUAAGACCGCAUCCGACCUACGGGUGAAAGCAGGGGGUCUUCGGACCUUGCGCGAUUGACUGAGCCGAUGUCGGAUUAGCUAGUUGGCGGGGUAAAGGCCCACCAAGGCGACGAUCCGUAGCUGGUCUGAGAGGAUGAUCAGCCACACUGGAACUGAGACACGGUCCAGACUCCUACGGGAGGCAGCAGUGGGGAAUAUUGGACAAUGGGCGCAAGCCUGAUCCAGCCAUACCGCGUGGGUGAAGAAGGCCUUCGGGUUGUAAAGCCCUUUUGUUGGGAAAGAAAAGCAGCAGGUUAAUACCCCGCUGUUCUGACGGUACCCAAAGAAUAAGCACCGGCUAACUUCGUG
rnacentral:rRNA from 1 species